ACCUGUUUUAUAUAAUUUGUAUCUCUGCUUUAUAACUACAUUUGAUAUUUGGGGUUAUAUUGCAUGCAGGCAAGCAACCCUGACAAGGUACGAAGUGAAUAUAAAUCAUUCUCAGGGUAAAGUGCUGCCUAGUGUAAGAGUUUCAGAUCCAGGUCUUCUACUUAAACCUGACGAACCAAAUUUGAUUAUAAUGGCAAAACCAGCAGGUGGCCCUAGUAAGAGAGAUCAGCAUGCAGGGAUGGAUGAGGACUAAUUUUGUGUGUAUGACAAUUGACUAUCUUUGCUUUUAUUGCUCUAUGUUAGGGAUCUUUUGUUCCAUUUUAGUAACAAUUUUGUUUAGGAGAAAAAGAAACAUAUUGCAGUUCAUGCUUUGUAAAUGCCACUCUUCUGUUAUGAUGGACACGUGAUAUGCCCUUGUUGGGUAGGUUUUGGAUUGAAACCAUGGUCGAGUUCUUGAGCCAUGUUUAGUGUGAAGCUUGAAUGGAUUUUCUUUUCUGUUGUAUUUGGCCCUUGUCUUUUCAAGCAUGCCAAAAAUCAUCCUAGUUUUGUAAUAUGUGGUUUGUGUCCAAUUAAUUUACUGUGGACCUUGCAUUUUUGUA